UACGAAGGGGGCUAGCGUUGCUCGGAAUCACUGGGCGUAAAGCGCACGUAGGCGGAUUGCUAAGUCAGGGGUGAAAUCCUGGAGCUCAACUCCAGAACUGCCCUUGAUACUGGCGGUCUCGAGUCCGGGAGAGGUGAGUGGAACUGCGAGUGUAGAGGUGAAAUUCGUAGAUAUUGGGAAGAACACCGGUGGCGAAGGCGGCGAGCUGGCCUGUUACUGACGCUGAGGCGCGACAGCGUGGGGAGCAAACAGG
rnacentral:rRNA from 1 species